UACGUAGGUGGCAAGCGUUGUCCGGAUUUACUGGGCGUAAAGGGCGCGCAGGCGGUUGAUUAAGUCGAAUGUGAAAGCCCACGGCUCAACCGUGGAGGGUCAUUGGAAACUGGAGGACUUGAGUACAGAAGAGGAAAGCGGAAUUCCACGUGUAGCGGUGAAAUGCGUAGAGAUGUGGAGGAACACCAGUGGCGAAGGCGGCUUUCUGGUCUGUAACUGACGCUGAGGCGCGAAAGCGUGGGGAGCAAACAGG
rnacentral:rRNA from 1 species